rnacentral:rRNA from 1 species
AGUGAACGCUGGCGGUAGGCCUAACACAUGCAAGUCGAACGGCAGCACAGUAAGAGCUUGCUCUUACGGGUGGCGAGUGGCGGACGGGUGAGGAAUACAUCGGAAUCUACUUUUUCGUGGGGGAUAACGUAGGGAAACUUACGCUAAUACCGCAUACGACCUACGGGUGAAAGCAGGGGAUCUUCGGACCUUGCGCGAUUGAAUGAGCCGAUGUCGGAUUAGCUAGUUGGCGGGGUAAAGGCCCACCAAGGCGACGAUCCGUAGCUGGUCUGAGAGGAUGAUCGGCCACAUGGGAACGGGGACACGGUCCAGAGGACUAAGGGAGGCAGCAGUGGGGAAUAUUGGGCAAUGGGCGCAAGCCUGAUACAGCCAUACCGCGUGGGUGAAGAAGGCGUUCGGUUUGUAAAGACGUUUUGUUGGGAAAGAAAAGCAGCAGGUUAAUACCCAGCUGUACUGACGGUACCCAAAGAAUAAGCACCGGCUAACUUCGUG